rnacentral:rRNA from 1 species
AGGGUGUAAACGCUGCAGACUUGGUGUUGGAGGCCCUUUGGGGGCAUUCAGUGCCGGAGAGAAGUUGUUAAGUCUGCUACUUGGGGAGUACGUCCGCAAGGAUGAAACUUAAAGGAAUUGGCGGGGGGAGCACCGCAACGGGAGGAGCGUGCGGUUUAAUUGGAUUCAACGCCGAAAAACUCACCAGCAGCGACUGUUACAUGAAAGUCAGGUUGAUGACCUUACUAGAUUUUCAGAGAGGAGGUGCAUGGCGUCAGUGACU